AAGAAGCGAAGCCGUAAGGUGGAGCAAACCUCAAAAAUCAGAUCCCAGUUCAGAUUGUGGGCUGAAACUCGCCCACAUGAAGACGGAGUUGCUAGUAAUCGCGAAUCAGCAUGUCGCGGUGAAUGCGUUCCCGGGCCUUGUACACACCGCCCGUCACACCAUGGGAGUUGGGAGCGCCCGAAGCCGGUGGCUUAACCGCAAGGAGAGAGCCGUCUAAGGUGAGACCGAUGACUGGGGUGAAGUCGUAACAAGGUACC
rnacentral:rRNA from 1 species